rnacentral:lncRNA from 1 species
AGACCUAAAAGGCUGGGGCAGACCUCGGGAUGCAGCGGGGGUCGUGCGUAGCGGGUAGGAGCUGCUUGGGACCGCGUCCGGGCGCUCGUGGGGCUCUCGGCGCGGCAGGCGCUUCCCGGCCCUGUCUGGCCGCGGGCUCCGCCGCUUCGCAGCCGAGUCUGGGACUCGGGACUCGGCUGCCCGCUGCUGCGCGGCUCCUCCAUGACCCGGCGCCCUGCCCGGGACCGGCCCGCUCGCUGCACUGGUCCUCUCCUCGGCCUCCUCUUGAGCUUUCCUCGGACAGGGGCACCGUGCGCUCCCCGGCCACCGUCGCUCUGCCCUCGGCUCUCUGGGGCCGGGGAUUCCGGAUCGGGAGCCGGGAUGCGGGCCGGGGCGCGCACAGACGCUAGGCGGCCCAGCCCGGGCGCCGCUGGCACCGGCUCGCGGCUCCCGGCAAAAACCCGUCCGACUGGCUGGGCCACUCCCGCCUGACGCCCCCCCAGAUGACACGACUAGCUCUCCCGGCGUGCUGCCUUUGCCAGUCUACCCGCCAGGUUGUCAGAACAAGCGGCACCUCGCCUCCUGCGUGUCCCUACAGAGCCCCGGCACAAUCAGACUGCCCCAAGCCAGCUCCGAAACCCGAAAUCCCCGCUCCGGCGCUUGCCCACCACGGCCAAAGUUGUGGAAACAGCUUUGACUUUAUUCUCCUCUCUCUCUCAUCUUUUUUUGCCUCGCUUACACACGCAUUCACACUUGCCCCCACAGGAUCCCUCUAGGGGUGCAAGUUCAUCCCCCACCUAGCCACCCACCCCAUCCAGUCGGCACCUAGAGCCGCACGGAGGUUCGGACCCCGCCCGCCGAGGGCGCCCACACCUGGAGCUGGGUUUCGGCCUCUGCGAAAGUGAAAUGCCCAAGCCUCCGGCCAAAGCCCAGACCAGUACAGUAUGAAUUGUCCUAUGAGACUGAGGGGUUCGGCUUCAUUCCUACCUGCCCGCAAAGCUCGCCCCCAGCCUCGAAAACAAAGCGACUGGUCUGACGUGGGGUCCCUGCGCCCCUCCUCUAGCGCGACAGGACCCCCCCAGGGAAGAGCCAGUACCCGUGGGAUGUCACCCCGUCCCCAUCUACCGGGGUGGGGGGCCUGAAAGGAGAACGAUUUAAAAUAAUCUUCAGAAAGAAAAGGGAGGAGGGAGCGGGUGACACAUCGUUCACAUAAACCCAAUUUCUGGUUUCGAGUGAAGUCAAGAUCUCCGCCCCUGCGCCUGCACACACACCUCCUGCCUAACAUUCUCAGCUGCAAAUGCCAAAAAAGAAAAAAAAAAAAAACAGCAAAAGUUGGGACUGCCACCUAUUUAUUUAGGUAAUCUCCAGCCCUACACACCCCAACCCCUCUCUCGGACUCAUUGCUCAUUACAGUGUUGGUUGUAACCGUUCCCAGCGCCUCCUGCGGGUGGACAGGUCGCGCUAGGGUCUCCCUUGCUGCCUCAAGAAGGCGAGCUCAGGGGACUCUGCGUUUUAAAAUGGGUUCCAAAGCGGCGCGCUCUGUCGGCCCAGCGGGCUUGCGGCACCAGAGGUGGUCUGCAGCCGCGCAAGGAUUCCCACGGUCGUUCUGGGCUGGUGCAGAAGCUGGUGCUCCCGCACCCAGCGGCCAGCAGGCUCGGCGCAGCACAUCUCCCCACCCCACCCCCACACACCCCCGUGGGGUGCGUCGAUCCUGUAGCUCAGAGGGAGAAGCUACUUAGAACUUCGUGAAGCACAGAGGAUCUGGAGCGAGCCCCGCAGCUGGGAUCAGUGGUCUUAAGUUGAACCCGCUUACAGGAAGAUGCAGCCCAGCUCACAGCGAAGUGUGGGGGGGCCGUCUCUAAAGCCGAGAAGGGAACCGCUUUAGAAGUGGGGGUGGGGGGAAGAAAGAAUGAAUGAAUGAAUGAAUGAAUGAAUAGAAAGAAGAAGGAAUAUUAAAGAUCGGAGAGGAAGUUCAAGAGAGAAAAGAGUUUUCUCUUUCCUUUCUGUUCCUGGUGACUUGGGCCCUCAAUCUCGAUGAAGAUAACACGAGGAGUGCACAGCUUCUCCCCCGCGUUCUUCGGGCGAAUCCGAGGGACGGGCGCUGCGCUGGGGAAAGUUUGUCCCACCCGCGUUUCGCAGCUGGUUGCAAGGAGAGGAGGAGGAGAGGGAGGGUCAAGCUCGGAGCCUGUGACCGCACGGAUGAUCGAGCCGGCGUCGCGCUUACCUCGCAGUCCUCGUACUUGAUAUUAUCCGUCAAUUUCCAAAGCAUUUUCAUGGAUCGGCGUGAACGGAUAUGCCCCUCUCGGUCUCGCACCCAAGUGGAGCUACUCUCUGGCUCUUUACCAACAGCCUAAUCGCCUCAUUAGCAUAUCAACAAUAGUCCAAUUGCUCGCCAGUACCACAAUCUGCCGCCGGCCGCUCCGACACAGGUAUAAAGGCCUCUCUACGCCGCGAACUUGCUUCUAGAGCGCACUCCAGCCUGCGAACUGAUAAAACCUUCCUCGAGCUCCGCCGCGAGGCCCUGCCCCAACACCCCCUCUCUUACCCCAAUUCCGCCACAUUCCCCUAGAUGCCUUCUGCAAAGCCCGGCACUGCUCAAGGUCCAAGCGCCACGCCUGGGGCCCAGCUUCUAGCACUUCUCCCUUAACCCUGCUACCACGAUCCGAGCUGCCCUUUUGGCCCCGUGCAAUUUUAUUAGAAAUCAUUAUCCCUUUCGCAAUUAAACAUAACCACCAAACCAAGACCGGCGAAGUCACUCCAGGAUUUUUUCCCAACAAGGGAUCGCCUCCGCUCGAGGCAGCCACCCCCUCGGGCCGCAGCGCCUUGGGAGUUUUAUUGGCUUUGAGCUUUCCCCCAGGUUGGAGAUUCUGCCAAGCGGCUCCGGUGGCUCUGCUGGGGUUUGCAAUCCCUUAAUUGCAGCGUGUAAAAUAAAAGUUGUACCCUGAAGAGGUUACUUGACAGCUCCAGGGGUUAAACAAUUUUUCUCCUGUUUGUGUGAAGCUAGGGCCAACUGACAGUUCAAAUUGGUGUUCAGGCUAAGGUUUCCUGGGUGCAACGUGGACACGAAUACAGAACUCCUAUGGAACUGCACACCCGCUUCUGAAGUUGAGCCUAAAAACAGACGUGUGUGUGCCUGCAAGUCUAGAUACCGUCUCGUGCGUGCAUCAAAAUAAAUCACCGGGAACCGACUUUUAGCUGUGUUAAUCUGCUCUAGUUUUCCCAAGAUUCCCCUUUUUAAUUAAAGCAGGGAGAGUUCCUUCAUGAUUUGGUGAUGCUACUAACGCGGGCGUGCUCGCGAGGCAGAGCCCGGCUGCCGCGGAACCUGGAGGCCUGGGAGCCACCUACUCGUCCAGACUGGUCAGUCCGGGCUUUUGGACUCCUCACCGGGGCCUGCUGGGUCCUCUGGGGCUUUUAUCCCUUUCGGUUUUGGGAUUUUUUUUUAAGUAAGAAAAAAAAAAAAGAAAAGGACCUAAUGUGACACUAGGAAAUACAGAGUAAUUAAUUUUCCUGGCUGAGCUUCCUCGUUUGUCCUCCAAAAGAAAGUUACCUCUGUCUUUUCUCUCUGCUAUAUGUACAAACUCCUUAACUACACUAGGUCCCGCCUCAGAGUUGCUCUAGUAAGGACCUUUGAUUCAUCUGGGCUUGUUUCUCGAAAAUCUCCAGGCCUCCCAUAUUUCCACCGGG